rnacentral:lncRNA from 12 species
GUCAUCCUACAGUCCACUGUUCUUAAAACCUCACUCAGAACUUCUCCACCUGGCUGGUGGGGACAAGCAUCUGGGCUGCUGGCCCAGCCCUGUAUCCCAUGGAUCUGAGAGGGAAGGUGAACUUGGAUGUCCCUCCUCAGAGUCGGGGAGGGAAGAGCUCUCCUCCAACAGUUACUGUGAGCAGUAAACCAGACAUUUUCAGAGACGCGGCUUCUGUUCUUCCCCCCUUUCUCCUCCUUAGAAGCCACAGCUUUUCAGAAGCCACAAGAUCUUCACUUCCUCUUCCUUCCCACCUCUGAGCCCCUCUCUGUCUCCCAAGCCAGGACACCCUCACCACCACCCACGUGGUGAUCCAGAAGCCGUAUUUUCAGGUGUCAUGACCUCCUGAAACAUUAGGACAUGGACAGUGGAGGCCCCUUUCUCAACAACUGGAGAAGAUCCCUGCCCCACGAACACUUCCACCAGAGGGCAUGAACGAAGACAGGAUACCUCAGAAGGGCACACUGCGCUGCCCAGUGCUCCUGAGCCAGGAGAUGCCCUCUACUGACCCCACUGGAGCCCACAUCUCUCUCACCUGACAUGUCUGGCCAGAAGCCACAAGUCCUCAGUUUACCCUGUGGCAUCCCACACUCCGUACAAACAAGAGCCUGUGUGUGGCAAAAAUCCUCCAGCAAUUACCUGUAGAAACAGGGUGGAGAGUGUUGGGGACAGGAAGAGGAAUUUAUUUAUUUGUUCUCUGUGCUUUGAGUUCGUUUUUAAAUUGUCCUUCUGUAGAUAAAGGCAUCUCUCCAGCAGCUCAGCCCAGAUCACGGCAGCUAAUCUGCAUCCGGCAGAUCAAAAUAGCCUCCAAACCAGAUGGAGACCCAGAGCGCACCAGGAAAGCAGAACCGGUUCUAGUGCUGAAAGUGGGGAUUUAAAUAGAGUCACGUGAAGCCUUUUUGGGAUUUUUCUGGGACGAGUGGGGGUAAGGAAAGGAGACUGGGAUUGCCGAGACCAGGAAGCGGCAGGGAGGAGGGAGGCAGAAGUUAAGGAAGGAAAGUGAGAAUUCACGCUGGCACUUUCCCUAUAGAUUUUUUUGGACCUCUGCCAGGAGGUCAAGGUGUCCGUGUGUCUGUAAUGCUCAGACAGGAGCAAUGGAGGAGGAGGUUUUGCGUGUUCCCCAGACACAGCACGGUGCUAGAGAAGGCACGGCUCUGGAGCCAGACCUGCUUACAUCCUACCCAUGCACCCUUGAGCUUCAGCUUCCUGGUCUGUAAAUUGGGAUUAUGAAGUUUAUCUUUUAGGAUUUUGACAAGGCUU